rnacentral:rRNA from 1 species
CUACGGGUGGCACCAGUGGGGAAUAUUGCACAAUGGGCGCAAGCCUGAUGCAGCCAUGCCGCGUGUAUGAAGAAGGCCUUCGGGUUGUAAAGUACUUUCAGCGGGGAGGAAGGGAGUAAAGUUAAUACCUUUGCUCAUUGACGUUACCCGCAGAAGAAGCACCGGCUAACUCCGUGCCAGCAGCCGCGGUAAUACGGAGGGUGCAAGCGUUAAUCAGAAUUACUGGGCGUAAAGCGCACGCAGGCGGUUUGUUAAGUCAGAUGUGAAAUCCCCGGGCUCAACCUGGGAACUGCAUCUGAUACUGGCAAGCGUGAGUCUCGUAGAGGGGGGUAGAAUUCCAGGUGUAGCGGUGAAAUGCGUAGAGAUCUGGAGGAAUACCGGUGGCGAAGGCGGCCCCCUGGACGAAGACUGACGCUCAGGUGCGAAAGCGUGGGGAGCAAACAGGAUUAGAUACCCCGGUAGUC